rnacentral:tRNA from 1 species
AGCUCAGUUGGUAGAGCGCUGCCUUUGCGAGGCAGAAGCCAGGGGUUCGGGGCCCUUA